rnacentral:rRNA from 1 species
ACUGGAGCGUACACAGGUGCUGCAUGGCUGUCGUCAGCUCGUGUCGUGAGGUGUUGGGUUAAGUCCCGCAACGAGCGCAACCCCUAUCUUUAGUUGCCAUCAGUUCGGCUGGGCACUCUAUGGAGACUGCCACCUAAAGUGGAGGAAGGUGGGGAUGACGUCAAGUCAGCAUGGCCCUUACGUCCGGGGCUACACACGUGCUACAAUGGCCGGUACAAAGGGUUGCGAAGCCGUGAGGUGGAGCGAAUCUCAAAAAGCCGGCCUCAGUUCGGAUUGGAGGCUGCAACUCGCCUCCAUGAAGUCGGAAUCGCUAGUAACCGCAGAUCAGCUACGUUGCGGUGAAUACGUUCCCGGGCCUU